rnacentral:rRNA from 1 species
GGAUAUUAGAACGGUAGUUUGGUAUUUCCUUGUCGUUUGACUUUAAUUUAUUUUAAGUAAUUGUGUAGAAGUUUAAACCGAAGAUAUUAAGUUUACGCAUUAGAAAAAUAGACUUUGGGUUUUCGGAAAAACAUCACUAGCUUAAGCUCUGACCCGAGUAGCAUGUGGCACGUGGAAUCUCGUAUGAAUCAGCAAGGACCACCUUGCAAGGCUAAAUACUCCUGGGUGACAGAAUAGUAAGUAGUACCGUGAGGGUAGGGAGAAAAGAACCACCAUUGAGGAGUGAAAUAGAACAUUACACCAUAAGCUCCUAAGAAGUAGAAGGAGACAUGGCUCUGACCGCGUGCGUGUUUAAGAAUGAGACGGCGAUUCAUAGGCAGUGCCUUAGAUAAUGGAACUCACCGAAGCUUCAGCAAAAGCGAUUCUUCAUAGGUAAAUUGUCACUACUCUUAAACAAGAACCAAGGUGGUCUAUCCAUGACCAGGAUGAAGCUUCGGUGAAACUAAGUGGAGGUCCAAAUUGACUUAUAUUAAAGAAUCAGUGUAUUAGUUAUGGUUAGGGGUAAAAUGCAACUCGAACCAAAAGCUAGUUUUUUCUCACCAAAAUGCAUUGAGGCGCAGCAGUUGACUAGACAUCUAGGGGUAAAGCAUUGAUUUAAUUCGAUCCGUGAGAGAGGUAAAAAAUUCCAUGCAAAAUCAGAAUACUAGAUACGACCUCAAAAUAAAAGGGGUCAAGAUCAUGUAGUGAGACAAUGGGGGAUAAGCUUCAUCGUCAAAACGGAAACAGCCCGGAUCACCAGCCAAGGACCAUAACUUACUACUAAAUGAUAAAAAAGAUGGGGGUGCAGAGACAGCCAAGAGGUUUUCCUAGAAGCAUCUACUCUAAAAAAAGUGCAUAAAAGCUCACUAAUCAAGCUUGUUGCAUCGAAGAUGAAUGGGGAUAAGUGGUAUUCCAAAAGCUGUGGGAUGUAAACAUACAUUGGUAGGGGAGAGUUCCUCCUUAUAGAGAAACCUCAUCAUCAGCGCUGGUGGACGAAGCGGAAGAGAGAAUGAGACUUGAGCAACGCAAACAUUUUGAGAAUCCAAUGCCCCAAAAACCUAAGGUUUCCUCCAAAUAGUUUUUCCAGGUAGGGUGAAUCAAGUCCUAAGAUCAGGCAGAAUGGUGUAGUCGAUGGACAACAGGUGAAUAUUCCAGUACUACCCCACCCCUUGUAAGUCCCGAUGGAUGGAGGAGGCUAGGUUAGCGGAAAGAUGGUUGUUUUUUCCAGAAUGUAAGGCCUCCAUACUUAUUCAAGGUAAAAAUGGUUAGAGAAAAUGUCUUGAGCCAAUGUUCGAAUAAAAGGCGUAUGGCGCUAAAGAAACCCAUGUCAUACUCCAGGAAAAGAUGAAACGACAUUAAUCAAAAGGGUACGUGCAUCCAAGACAGAGAUAGGUGAGUAGGUAGAUAAUACCAAUUGGUGCGACACAACUCUCUCUAUGGAACUCGGCAAUAUAGCCCCUUAACAUUGGGAGAAGUGGUGCCUACUCACAAAGGGGUUUGUAGUGACUAGGCCCGGGCAACUAUUUACCUAUAACACAUCUCUCCCCAAAGUUGUAAGACAAUGCAUGGGGGUUGUUGCUUGACCACUACCAGAAGUACUAGGAAGUUGGUGUUGUGAAGACAGGGGAGGCGGCAACCAAAGCACCUAUGAACGGCGUUCGUAACUAUAACGGCCUUAAGGUAUCGUAUUACUUUUCAAGUAAAUUUCGACCCGCACGAUAGGUGUAAUUAUCUGGGUAAUAUCUCAGAGAGAGGCUCGAUGAAAUAGAAAUAUUUGUGAAGAUGUGGACUACCUUCACCUGUGUAGAAGACUUUAUGAAGCUUCACUAUUCCGUGGGAUUGGGUUUGGGCCUAUCUUGCGCAACAUAGGGUGAAGGCAAAUAAGGCCUCAAUCCGGAGGCCCGAGCUAUCAAUGAAAUACUACUCUAAAAGGAAUAGAAUUCUAACCUUGUGUCAAAACCUACAGGCCAAGGAAUAGUCUCAUGUACUCAGUUUGUAUAGGGCGUAAGCCUCUUAAAGUGUAACGGAGGUGGGCAAAGGUUUCCUCCGAUUGGACAGAGAUUGGCCCUUGAGUCAAAGGUUGAGGGACCUUUGACUGCAAGAAUCUCCCAUCGAGAAAGGAAAAAAGUCGGCCUUAGUUAUCUGAUGAUGCUGAGUGGAAGGUUCGUCUCUCAAUGGAUAAAUAUAAUCUAGGGAGUACACGCUGAUCUUUCCUAAGAGCUCACAUCGACGGGAAGGUUUGGCACCUUAUUGUCAGCACUACGCCACAUGGGGUUUCAGUAUGUUCCAAGGGUUUGGCUAUUCGCCCAUUAAAGCAGUACAUGAACUGGGUUCAAACUUCGUGAGACAAUUCUAUCCAUACCCGGUGUGGGCGUUAGAGAAUUGAGAGAAGCUUUCCCUAGUACCAGGGGAACGAGAAGGAUGCAACUAUUGUGUACCAGUUGUUUUGCGCACAUUAAAUGCUAGGUAGAAAAUUGCGGAGCGGAGAACUGCUCAAAGCAUCUAAGUUGAAAGCCCACCCCAAGAUGAGUGCUUUGUGUUUCAGACUUCCUCAAAGCUUCUGGUAGCACAGCCGAGACUACAACAGGUUAUCUACCCUUGCGGGGAUGGAGCGACCUAAUUUCUUU